GUAUAGGGUUUGUUUUUCUAUAAAAACUCAGGUUCAAAAACCCUAGUCAGAGUUUCUUUUACAGAAUAUAUACAUUCUAAAUUCUAGGACUUUGCAGUCAUUUGGGGCAAGUUUUAGGUGUGACUGGAGAGGGAGUCAUUGACUUAUUUCUCAGGUGGUUGUCCUUUCCUUUUCCUGUCCAACUAAUGCACUUUCUCAUCUGUGAAAAGAACGCUGGACUGGGAACCAGGACCCUGAAUUCCAAAGCUUGACCUUGGUUGUGUCCCACUGUUCGUGACCCCGUGGACUGCAGCACGCCAGGCCUCCAUCACCAACUCCUGGAACUUGCUCAGACUCCUGUCUAUCAAUCUUAAGAUCAAGAAAGUUCCAGAAAAGCUCGACGAGUCGGCCAUCUUACUGGUGACAUAACGAGAUGUGAAAAAGUUGAUUUCAAGCAUGAAUGUUUGUGAUCUCUUGUCAAAGGAAGCUAGGCUGCUGCUCUUGUUGGGGUCACACAGGGACGUGGGCAGCACUUUGGCUACAAGUCAUCCCCAACAGCCAGAAAGAUGGAGCCAAAAGACAAAACCAUAUUUGAAGAAGACAUCUAGUAUCGAAACUAGAUUUGCCAAUUUGGUUGUCAGAGGAGUGGGAUGGUGGAGAGGGGGACAAAUGUGGGGAACUUUCUAGAGUUCUGUAACUAGAAGAAAAACAUAAAACAGAAAUGAGAUGACAGGUCAAGACAUGGAUCAUAAGUAGAGUUGGGUGUUGACCGCGUGAUAUAUGUGUGUGUCGUUUGGGUCAGAAGGCACAGGGUUAGUUUGGUAUUAACAUGUACACACUACUGUAUAUGAAAUGGGUAAACAGGACCUACUGUAGAACGCAGGAAACUAUUUAAUAUCUUGUAAUAACCUUUAAUGGAAAAGAAUCUGAAAGAGUAUACACACAUACGCGUGCACACACACACACACACACCCACACACACGGUGGUGAUGGUUUAGUUGUUUAGUUGUGUCUGACUCAUGCUACCCCAUGAACUGUUGCCCUCCUGACUCCUCUGUCCAUGGAAUUUUCCAAGCAAGAAUACUUGAGUGGGUUGCCAUUUCCUCGCAUAUCCUUUACCACUGAGCCACCAGGGAAGCCUAAUAUAUAUAUAUACAUAUGUACACUUUGGCCACUGAUGCAAAGAGCCAACUCAUUGGAAGAGACCCCGAUGCUGGGAAAGAUUGAAGGCAACAGGAGACAAGGGGCAGCAGAGGAUGAGGUAGUUAUCUCUGACUCAGUGGACGUGAAUUUGAGCAAACUCUGGAGAUCGUGAAGAACAGGGAAAUCUGGCAUGCUGCAGUCCGUGGAUUGCAGAGUCGGACAUGACUUAGCUACUGAACACACACACACACACACACACACACACACACACACACUCACACACACAUGUAACUGAAUCACUUUGCUGUACACCUGAAACUAAUACAACGUUGUAAAUUAACUAUAGUUGAAUAAAAAAUGAGUAAAAAAUAAUAAAAAGGAGGUGCAUUGUUUAAGGACCUGAAUAAGGGAUUUAAGG
ensembl:lncRNA